GAUGAAGAACGCAGCGAAAUGCGAUAAGUAAUGCGAAUUGCAGAAUUCCAGUGAAUCAUCGAGUCUUUGAACGCACAUUGCGCCCCCUGGUAUUCCGGGGGGCAUGCCUGUCCGAGCGUCAUUGCUGCCCUCAAGCACGGCUUGUGUGUUGGGCCCCGUCCUCCGAUCCCGGGGGACGGGCCCGAAAGGCAGCGGCGGCACCGCGUCCGGUCCUCGAGCGUAUGGGGCUUUGUCACCCGCUCUGUAGGCCCGGCCGGCGCUUGCCGAUCAACCCAAAUUUUUAUCCAGGUUGACCUCGGAUCAGGUAGGGAUACCCGCUGAACUUAAGCAUAUCAAUAAGCGGAGGA
rnacentral:misc_RNA from 1 species